UAUGGGGCGCAGCAGGCCGGGAAACUCUGCAUAGGCGAAGCUUGACAGGGUUACUCUGAGUGAUUUCCGUUAAGGAGAUCUUUUGGCACCUCUAAAAAUGGUGCAGAAUAAGGGUUGGGCAAGUCUGGUGUCAGCCGCCGCGGUAAUACCAGCACCCCGAGUGGUCGGGACGUUUAUUGGGCCUAAAGCAUCCGUAGCCGGUUCUACAAGUCUUCCGUUAAAUCCACCUGCUUAACAGAUGGGCUGCGGAAGAUACUAUAGAGCUAGGAGGCGGGAGAGGCAAGCGGUACUCGAUGGGUAGGGGUAAAAUCCGUUGAUCCAUUGAAGACCACCAGUGGCGAAGGCGGCUUGCCAGAACGCGCUCGACGGUGAGGGAUGAAAGCUGGGGGAGCAAACCGGAUUAGAUACCCGGGUAGUCCCAGCUGUAAACGAUGCAGACUCGGUGAUGAGUUGGCUUAUUGCUAACUCAGUGCCGCAGGGAAGCCGUUAAGUUUGCCGCCUGGGGAGUACGGUCGCAAGACUGAAACUUAA
rnacentral:rRNA from 1 species